rnacentral:rRNA from 1 species
AGAAUCAACGCUGGCGGCGUGCCUCAGACAUGCAAGUCGAACGCGAAAGUCCCCUUCGGGGGACAAGUAGAGUGGCGCACGGGUGAGUAACACGUAGGUAAUCUACCUUCGGAUGGGGAAUAACAAUCGGAAACGGUUGCUAAUACCGCAUAAUGCAGCGGCACCUAAUGGUGACAGUUGUUAAAGCGGGGGAUCGAAAGACCUCGCGUCUGAAGAGGAGCCUGCGGCGGAUUAGCUAGUUGGUAAGUAUGGCUUACCAGGCUACGAUCC